rnacentral:rRNA from 1 species
GGAAACCGGAGCUAAUACCGGAUAAUAUAUUGAACCGCAUGGUUCAAUAGUGAAAGACGGUUUUGCUGUCACUUAUAGAUGGAUCCGCGCUGCAUUAGCUAGUUGGUAAGGUAACGGCUUACCAAGGCAACGAUGCGUAGCCGACCUGAGAGGGUGAUCGGCCACACUGGAACUGAGACACGGUCCAG